CAGUAGCCGCGGUAAUACAGAGGGUGCGAGCGUUAAUCGGAUUUACUGGGCGUAAAGCGUGCGUAGGCGGCUUCUUAAGUCGGAUGUGAAAUCCCUGAGCUUAACUUAGGAAUUGCAUUCGAUACUGGGAAGCUAGAGUAUGGGAGAGGAUGGUAGAAUUCCAGGUGUAGCGGUGAAAUGCGUAGAGAUCUGGAGGAAUACCGAUGGCGAAGGCAGCCUUCUGGCCUAAUACUGACGCUGAGGUACGAAAGCAUGGGGAGCAAACAGGAUUAGAUACCCCCGUAGUCCCUGUCUCUUAUAC
rnacentral:rRNA from 1 species